ACCAGUUUCUUUCAUCCUACUGUGUCUUUCUUACUUAGAAACAUAAAAAUGAUCUGGGGCUCUUGUCCAUUCUCACCUAAAAUUCCCGAGUAGGUAAUGACUGACUACAACCUGGUUCGACAUAUGCCCCCAAACUAAAACAAACAAACUCAUUUGCCAUACAAAUUGUUUACGAUUCAUUAAAAAGCAAAAUUGCAUAUCCCCAUGCUGGCAGCUGAGGCCGAGCCUCCCGGGCGGAGGGGGCAUUCACUGAGUCGCCUUUGUAUGCUCGGAGCGCCAAGCCGGAGGUUCCCACUCUGAGCCGGAGUCUGUGCAGCCAGAUGACGCAUGAGAAGAAGAACAACAUGAUCAUGAAUGCAGCAUGUACUAAGAAGCCACACUCCAAGUCAGAGUCGAAAACGUAAGAGCCUUGCCUAAAGACACAUGGUAAGCAAGGGGAGCAAAAUUCAACUCUAUGUCUGCUGGAUAACAAUGCUCUGGGCUUUUCUGCUCCAACCAGCUAGCUUCCAGAAAAUAUUUUUUAUUUCUUUUGUAGAAUUGAAUGUUGGGCUUAACAAAUACGCAUGGCCUUGAAUCAUCAGACUCUUAGAUAAUAAAAUUAGAAAUGUAUCCUGUUGCUGAGGCUGUAGAGUGCAGUGUAGGAUAAUGGGUAUCUAAGAUUGAAAAAAAAGCAAAGCUUGUGUUGAAGAGGGAUUAUGUACUAUUAACAUCUAGGUCUUCCUCUCACCUUAAUCGGGUGGAAAAUCCUAAAAUGGGGUUCAAGACAUCACUGUCUAACUCCUCAAAUGAGUGUGUUCUCACAUGGUAGCUUUCUGAUAAGAGGAAGAAUCAACAUGAGGGAUAGAAAAUCUAGCUCCUUCAAAGCCCAGAUAAAUGCCAGGAUCUUUGGUGGGAGGUUUAUCCUUAUAGAUGCAAGCAUCAAAGUCUUCUGCGCAGGUAUACCUCGUUACUGGGUGUGAGUGGUGACUUAAAUAAACCGGUGUCCCACAUCACCUGGCAUGGUUUUCUCACUGUAUGGCAGAAGGGAAUGCUGCAAAGCUGAAAAGGACAGAAUGCAAGAAAAUACCAGGGGGUCCAGACAGCCCCAUCCAUUUUAAUGAUAUUCCCAGAUAUUGCCCAGAUUUUUGAUCCUGUGUGUGUGUAUGUGUGUAUGUUUUUUUCUCAAGAAAAUAUUGAUUUUUUUUUCAGCAGAAACUUGCUGGCCAUGUCCUGCAAAGAAUUAGAUUUUUCUUGGUGGCAGUUCUUUUGACUCAUUUCCAUUUAGAAAUUCUUUGGCUUUCCUUUCCUCUGCAUUUUCUGUUAGCCAGCUGCCACCCAAGAUUGGACUAAACCCUCUGCCCCCUGUUAAAAAAGCGAGAGAGAAAAAGAAAAAACACAUACAACACAACCCUCUAAUAAGUAUAUUCACAAGUUCUAUGCGAGGCGCUUAAGAAAAGUAAAAGGUUAAUAUAUUCUAACUACAUGUUGGGUAUAGAAUGUCAGAUCUGUCAAAUUUCAUUAUAACUUGCUGCUCAUUGGAAAAGAUUUGAUUUCUUCUGCCACUGUCCUACUAUGUUCAAGUCACAGACUGCCAGCAGCAGCCCACUGAAGACCACAGGCUGGCAAUGAGCGGGCUCGAGUGGGAAACCAGCCGCAAGGACCAUCUGUUUCCGAUUUCUAGCUGAGCCAAGAUGUGCAGUGAAGUGCAUUCCAUUCACCAGGCCAGCUUCUCCCCUGCUCAAGUUAUUAGUGUUACAAGUGAAAUUAUCUCUUCCAAACAGCGGGGGAGCUAUAAUCCUUAUGGAAUCGGACUUUCAAACACACACGCAAACUCACAACACACACACACACACACACACACACACAACAUUUAGACAGCUUUUGUUAAAGUUGUGGGAAGAUUGCUUGUAAAUUUAAUUACAGCCUCCACAGACUUUAUAAAGUAUGUUUUAUUAAGCAUGAUAACCUCUGAGGCAUCAGCGUAUACAUUGGCCUCAUUUAGUCUAAUUGAAUGAUCAAAUAUCUUUAGGAUGCUUUUUGUGGGCAUGGUUAAAAAUGAUAAGAAGGAAGUAUUUAAGCCAUCUUAAAAUGAACUGGCUUUCAAGAGCAUAAUGGGAUUUUAGGAAUAAUCAAAGGGAGUCUUGCUCUGCUGGGUCUCUUGCAAGUAGACAGUGCUGAUGCUGGUUAGCUGGUUAUUGAUCCCAUAGGCCGAAUGACCAGGUUCCCCACUUAAGUUGGGAGAUCAUAAUAGGCUGUCUUUGUUAUUUGGAAUUGACCUGCCUGUCUCAAGACUGAUAAUUUUUAGAAAAAUUUGGAGGUGAAAUUGCAAGGCUGAUUGUGUGACCAUGUGCUAGAAAGAGGGGGAAGUCAGGAGGCCUUAAUUAAUCCUAUAAACAUGCACUUAGUAGCAGGUGCUUGCUAUUGUGCUGGGUGCUCAAGAUGCAAAGAACACACAGGGCCUGCCCUGAAGGAGCUCCAACUCUCAUUGAGGAAAUAGACAUGGCAUCCAGCCCUCAUGUUGUACCCCAGAACCAUGUGGGGUUCUUUUUUUUUUGACAGGCAGAGUGGACGGUGAGAGAGAGAGACAGAGAGAAAGGUCUUCCUUUUGCCGCUGGUUCACCCUCCAGUGGCCGCCGCGGCCAGCGUGCUGCGGCCGGCGCACCGCGCUGAUCCGAAGGCAGGAGCCAGGUGCUUCUCCUGGUCUCCCAUGCGGGUGCAGGGCCCAAGCACUUGGGCCAUCCUCCACUGCACUCCCGGGCCACAGCAGAGAGUUGGCCUGGAAGAGGGGCAACCGGGACAGAAUCCGGCGCCCCGACCGGGACUAGAACCUGGUAUGCUGGCACUGCAAGGCGAAAGAUUAGCCUAUUGAGCCAUGGCGCCGGCCACCAUGUGGGGUUCUAAGCUUUGUUCUUCCACAUACUUGCUCCCUGACUCAGGGUUGUCAUAUCUCCUCUGUGAGCUUCAUCUGUAAAAUGGGCAUGGUGAUGGCUGACUUUAGGGACUGUUGCCAGAAUUAAGUGAACCAUGAUCUAUGGAAAGGACAAAAGAUCCCUCACAGGCACUUAGCAGGUGCUCAAUAUGUGUUAGUUUCUAUUCCCCAAAUACUUGAGAACUUUGUGAGCUGUAGCAGGUACCUCUGUGGAUGAGUGGCACACUGAAUCCAGGGAAGCUGCUUCGUUAUUCCUGGCUCACGUCCACCAACCUGGACCACAGGUUUUCCAAGGGCCAAGGCCUGUAGGGGGCACUGUGCAGAGUCAGGAAUAAUUAAGAGACUAAUUCUUCCUUUGGUUCAUGGCAAAUGAAUGAUUCUUUCCAAAAAUGAAUGCUUUUCAUAGCAGAUAUCACAUAAAUUCAUUUAAAACCAGGAUACAGGAGUAAUACAAUCAAGGCCCUUAUUUUGCAGGUUAUGAAAAUGAGGCCCAGCAGACAGAACCUGGAGUCACUGAGCAAGUUAGUGGCAGAGACAGGGCUUCGACUUUAAUUUUCAGUGUCUCUGCCACUGGACCAAUUAUCUCACAGUGUUUGCAGAGCUGUGUCCUGGGUUCUAUGACUGAAUUGCAUUCCAAUGCACGUGAGCCCCUCCCUCUAUUGCUUCUGCUGAUUGUAUUAUACACAUGACAGAUAGAUCACCAUUCUUGACUCAGAUUUAUAGGCAGAAAUAGAGGUCAGCUAGUACAGUCCCCUUAUGAGACAGAUGGGAAAGCGAAGGACCAAUGUCCCAGUUCAGUGUCCUGAGAGCAAACUUUGAGCCUGGUGGAGACUGGUGUGCAAGCAUUUUAUUGGGAAGGUCGAUGAGCUCAACAACUGCAGGGAAGUAAAGGAAAAAAACUGGGUAGAGGGAGGAAUUAAAAAGCAAUUCAGUCCUAACAAAGGCUUAGCUAAUGCUAUAGGGGCCCUGGACCCUGGGGUGGCCUUGUAGAACUUCCUAAACUGGGGAGAAUGAUUGUGCCUUUGUACUCCUGUGAUGACUGACCAGCUACGGAAUAUGAGCUUUCUUGGAGGAAAAAUAGAAACUCUGGGCCAGGCAUCUAAGACAAAACCCACAGGGGUUUUCUGCUGAGAACUGUCAGCCACCAAUGUUCCUGAGAGCCAGAGGGUCAUCUGGAUGACCAGCCACAGAAUCUAUCUGUAUCCAGAGAAGUCCAUGGCUUCCUUACAAGCACCCACCAGAUGUUUCCAUCUCAAAGCAGCUCCCCCAUGGAGGACCUGAUCAAGAAAAAAAAAAAGAACUCCCCAAAUCUGAAGCAUAGAUGGCGUGUGAUGAUUAAACUCUUUGCUUCAAAGACACACUUUGGAGAACAAACCAACCUCCUGUCAUUCCCUACAAAGAGCAAAUCUGUUUGGAUGCAUAUUAGCAGGAAGCUGGAUCAGAAGCAAAGGAGCCAGCACUUGAACCAGGCACUCUGAUAUGGGAUGUGGGCAUCCUAAGUGGUGCUUUGGCAGAGAGCUGGAUAAGAAGACAGAGCAGCUGGGACUCAAACCGGCAUCCAAAUGGGAUGCUGGCAUUGCAAGGUGUGGCUUAACCCAUUGCACCACAACACCACACCCCCAACAAGUUUCUUAAACAGCUUAUGCCAGUUUUGUUAUUUGCACAAUGGUGAUAAUAACACUUCAUAGGCUUGUGAAGAUUGAAGAUGACAUUGACAUAUAAAGCUCCUGGGAAUAGUAAGCACUAAUGUGAACUUAUUAUAAAAUAUUGAUUAUUUCAAUGAUUUGUGCUAUUAAUCUUUGUGAUAAGGUAAAUAUGAUAAGUUUAUGACUGACUGUGCUCAUUGCCAGACUGACUGCUUUGGGGAUUAUGUUAAAGCCGUAUUUUCUGUUAAUAGAUCAGUAGGGAAGGGGAGAGAUUUGUUCUUGGAAGACAGUGGGAAGCUGUUGCUAGAAUGCCUCUCAAUAAUAACCACAGCUAAAGUCUAUUGAAUGCCUGCUGUGACACGAUAUUAAGUACUAUUUAUAUGCAUUGCCUAAUCUAGUCAUCACCUCAAACCUGGGAGCCACAAUUGUCACUUCAUUUUACACAUGAGGAGAUUGAAGCUCAGAGAAGGUAAGCAAGUUAACCUAAGUCACACAGCCAGUAGGAGGUAGAGUUAUGACUUGAAUCUGGGAUACUCUGAUGUCAAAGCAUCUGUCUUAACCACUUGUGCUUGAGCAAACACAUGACAAGAAUCAGAGACACAAGUUUCAGUGCUCACAGCUCUUUCUGGUGGUUGGCCAAUUGGAACAAUCAGUGUCAGUUAAGUUCUGCAGUGGUGUUGUCAUCCAAUCAGGAGAAUGCUGUUGUAGCCAUCUUUAUCUGCUCUUUAAUUUUUAAAGAUUAAUUUAUUUAUAUGAAAGGUAGAAAGAGGGGGAAGGCAGAGAGAGGUAAAAAGAGAAUGAAAGAGAGAGAGAGAGAGAGAGAGAUCUUCCAUCUGAUGGUUCACUCCCCAAAUGGCUGCAACUGCCAGGGCUGAGCCAGACCGAAGCCAGGAGCCUGGAGCUUCAAUCAGGUAUCCCAUGUGAGUGCAGGGGCCCAAGCACUUGGGUCAUCCUCCAUUGCUUAUUCAGGUGCAUUAGUAGGGAGCUGGAACAAAAGUGGAGCAGGUGAGUCUUGAACCAGCACCCAAAUGGUAUGCCAGCAUUGUGGGUGGUGGCUUAACCUACUACGCCACAGCACCAGCUGCCUUUAUCCACUCUUGAUUCCACCUCUCAGAGGCUCUCCAAGGGAACUUGCAAGCACGUUGUCUUUUUGACAGUUGCCCCUUUGAUGGAGAUCCCACAAGACAUAUCUGGUUCUUGGGUGAGUGGACAUGAGUAUGGCUGUACUGGGAACACAUAAUGGAAGUGUGUUUGGUCAUGUGACUGGGAUAUACUGUCGUGAUUAAUAAAUAAAACCUGUUUGGUAUUCAACUGUUAUUUAUUGACUCAGGAAUAUGCUCCUAAAUGAUUCAACAAAACGCAGACUAUUACACAUCCACAUACCAUGGUCUCAAUUUGGUAAUUAUAUGUGUCUAUACCAGAAUAUUCAGUAGUUGUCUCUCUAGGCCUUGAGGGAGUGAUGGUAAACAUUUUUUUCUAUUUAUAGAAUUGGAAAACAAUGUUUAAGGGGGACAGCUGGGAAAGAGUGGUUGCCAGAGGAGCUGAGCCGGACAUGGUUGCAGGUCUGGGCUGACCCAGGAGGAGCAUGGAGAACGGUUUGGUAGGCCGACUUUCCCUGUGGGCUAAGAAGAGGGCCCUGGAUGUGCACUCAUAACAUUUCCCCAAGGCAGCAGGGCAAGGCCUCAGCACCUCCCAGGAGAGGCAAAGGACAGCCCAGUGAUUGGCUCUGGGUGGCUGCUGGGAACCAGGGCUGUGCCACACAGAAGGACCCGAGGGAUCCUGCCCUUGUAGAAGCUAGAAAAUAUAGUACAAUGAUCAGAAAGUCCUUUCAUUUGACAGUUUCUGGUUAGGUGGUUGUAGAAUAUAAUGAUCUGCUCUGGUUGGUUACCUAAAAAAGAAAUUCUUACAUGCUACCCUCUGAUACCAGAGAAAAUCUAGCAGACCUAUUUUAGGUCCUGCAUAAAUUGCCUGUCUGUCUUUUAGAGUUUGAAUUCUUCCUCAUUUUGUUCCUUCUUACUGUCUCAAAUUUGGGUAUAGGUUUUCCCAAGAGAUAAAAGGAUGCCAGUUCUGAAGAGACUUCUUUCUCCAGUAGGGAAACCCAGAUUUCACCUGUGACUUGUCAUUUGUUCAGUGGGUUCCCUAGUGCUUCCUUCAGGGCAAGGGCUAGAUUCACGGACCAUCUGCCGUCCAUUGCCUUUACCUACACCAAUGCUGUGUUUCAUGGUUAACUGGGACUUUCCCAGGCUCAUCACAAGAUGCUUAACGCAAAUGGGAAGGACACUAAGCUGGGAACCAGGAGCUACAGACUGAAGACAGGGCCAUGGCGCCACACUGAGUGUUCCUGGAUAAGUCCAUUUUCCUCCCAGAACCUAAGUUUCUUUAUAGAUAAAGGAGGAGCAUGGAUUAGAUCUGGGGUUCCUUGGGACUGGACUGCUUAGUGUGUGUGCUGCCUGAAAUGUGGCUCCCUCCUUUGCAACCCAACUUCAUAUUAAACAGCAAUAGCAAACAGUUUCACUUAUUCCUUUCUUUCUUUCUUUCUUUCUUUCUUUCUUUCUUUCUUUCUUUCUUUCUUUCUUUCUUUCUUUCUUUCUUUCUUUUUUGACAGGCAGAGUGGAUAGUGAGAGAGAGAGACAGAG